UUGAACCUAGCGGCGAAUGGGUGAGUAACACGUGCUUAAUCUACCCUUUAGAUUGGAAUACCCAAUGGAAACAUUGGCUAAUGCCGGAUACGCAUGGAAUCGCAUGAUUCCGUUGUGAAAGGAGCCUUUAAAGCUCCGCUAGAGGAUGAGGGUGCGGAACAUUAGUUAGUUGGUAGGGUAAUGGCCUACCAAGACUAUGAUGUUUAGCCGGGUCGAGAGACUGAACGGCCACAUUGGGACUGAGAUACGGCCCAAACUCCUACGGGAGGCAGCAGUAGGGAAUAUUCCACAAUGAGCGAAAGCUUGAUGGAGCGACACAGCGUGCACGAUGAAGGUCUUCGGAUUGUAAAGUGCUGUUAUAGGGAAAGAACACCUGGUUGAGGAAAUGCUUCCAGGCUGACGGUACCCUGUCAGAAAGCGAUGGCUAACUAUGUGCCAGCAGCCGCGGUAAUACAUAGGUCGCAAGCGUUAUCCGGAAUUAUUGGGCGUAAAGCGUUCGUAGGCUGUUUAUUAAGUCUGGAGUCAAAUCCCAGGGCUCAACCCUGGCUCGCUUUGGAUACUGGUAAACUAGAGUUAGAUAGAGGUAAGCGGAAUUCCAUGUGAAGCGGUGAAAUGCGUAGAUAUAUGGAAGAACACCAAAGGCGAAGGCAGCUUACUGGGUCUAUACUGACGCUGAGGGACGAAAGCGUGGGGAGCAAACAGGAUUAGAUACCCUGGUAGUCCACGCCGUAAACGAUGAUCAUUAGUCGGUGGAGAGUUCACUGACGCAGCUAACGCAUUAAAUGAUCCGCCUGAGUAGUAUGCUCGCAAGAGUGAAACUUAAAGGAAUUGACGGGGACCCGCACAAGCGGUGGAGCAUGUGGUUUAAUUUGAAGAUACGCGGAGAACCUUACCCACUCUUGACAUCCUUCGCAAUGCUAUAGAGAUAUAGCGGAGGUUAACGGAGUGACAGAUGGUGCAUGGUUGUCGUCAGCUCGUGUCGUGAGAUGUUUGGUCAAGUCCUGCAACGAGCGCAACCCCUAUCUUUAGUUACUAACGAGUCAUGUCGAGGACUCUAGAGAUACUGCCUGGGUAACUGGGAGGAAGGUGGGGAUGACGUCAAAUCAUCAUGCCUCUUACGAGUGGGGCAACACACGUGCUACAAUGGUCGGUACAAAGAGAAGCAAUAUGGCGACAUGGAGCAAAUCUCAAAAAGCCGAUCUCAGUUCGGAUUGGAGUCUGCAAUUCGACUCCAUGAAGUCGGAAUCGCUAGUAAUCGCAGAUCAGCUACGCUGCGGUGAAUACGUUCUCGGGUCUUGUACACACCGCCCGUCACACCAUGGGAGCUGGUAAUACCCAAAGUCGGUUAGCUAACC
rnacentral:rRNA from 2 species